rnacentral:rRNA from 1 species
UACAGGGGGUGCAAACGUUGCUCGGAAUCAUUGGGCGUAAAGCGCGCGUAGGCGGCCCGGUAAGUCCGCUGUAAAAGUCAAAGGCUCAACCUUUGAAUGUCAGUGGAUACUGCCGGGCUAGAGUCCGGAAGAGGCGAGUGGAACUCCUGGUGUAGCGGUGGAAUGCGCAGAUAUCAGGAAGAACACCGACGGCGAAGGCAGCUCGCUGGGACGGUACUGACGCUGAGGCGCGAAAGCGUGGGGAGCGAACAGG